UUUAUUAGUACCUUUUUAUCUAUAUAUACAGUUCUAGUAUCUAUUUAUACAGUUUUUCGGAUUUCGUUUUUAAUAAUAGCUAACAUUCUCUAAUUUAUAUUUGAAAUAAAACGAAUAUAAGGACUUAAUGCAGAGAAAUAAAUAUUAUAAAGAAGAAAGAAAAUUGGAAAAAAUGAUGAUUUGAAAUAAUGAAAAAUGAUGCACUUGUACGUCAGUUUGAAUUAGUUAAGAUGCUGGUUGAUAGGAAUUAUCUGGAACAUCGUUGACAAGCUGGGACAGAUGAUCUUCCAUUGGUUUCUCUACGAGAGUUGUUAUCAUAUAUACGUUAUGAUGAUCAUUUUCGUGAAGGGUCAAUUCGUAUGAGGAUAGGAUGAUCUUUGGAACGUGUUGAGGCGAGAAUCGAGCUGCUAGUAAAGCUGCAAACGAAGACGAUAGAAUAGUGUUACAGGCACGACCAUGGAAACAACAAUACCCGCUGCUUUCAAUAUAAUCUACACCUGCUGCUGCAUCCCGUGCAACCUAGAGAUUACACGAGCACGAAACUUUAAAUGCGUUCGUGUGAUACACAGAUUUAUCGUGAUCGUGGUGUGAUACUAUUUUCUUUUUUUUUUUUUUUUGGUAUCCAGGAAGCGGGGAUGAUUAAAACGUUGGUAUUCAUAAUUCAAACUCGGGAGAAAAUUCUAUGAAUUUUUAUUACGACGCUCGUGAAUCGAGGCGAAUAUCGCGUACUGACCGUUGUUAAAUGAAGAAAGCAGAAAUGUAUCGCUCUUUGGACGUCUUGAAUGUCUUUUCAUGGUCACACGCUUGUCCCCGAUUUUUCAUUUUUUUUUUCACAGUUUCUUUUUUUCUGUACGCGUUACAUGUACAGGGUGUCUCAAAAAUGCGUUGUGAAAAAAUUUUCGUUUUUAAAUUAUUAACAAGAAACAGUGGCUCGACAUAUUCAACGUUAUCGACACGUUCGAUAAAUUUAUGUGAUUAUGUUUUUUUUAUUAAUAACUUGUCAAGAAAGUUGAAACGAAAGUUUCUGAAAGGAAAAUGUUGCUUAAAAUUAUCUCAGAGGUCUCCAAUUAAUCAAUGUUACGACAUUUUUGAAACAUUCUAUCUAUACGUAAACAUUCUAUCUUACAUUCGUUAGGGAAUCGAAUACCAAAUAUUUUUCAUUGUAUUUUUGGCUAAAAUAAAUCUAAUUCUAAAUAUAUUAGAGCGAGUUUUGAAACAACGAAGAAGUGAGGAAUGACGGGAUGAACGUUUAUGAUAGAUAUUCGCGAUAUAAAAAGAAAAAGAAAAUGAUAUAUAUUUCUUCUGUUUCGCAUGUUUCGAAUCGUUUUAUUUCUCUGUCAUUCUGUUAUUCAUUUAUUUCUUUCUAUUUUGCCGUGUUACAAACAGAAAGAAUUCUUAUAGUUAUUUUGUUCUUCUAAUUGAUAUAAAAUAUGAAAGUUAUUUUUUAUUUUUUACAACAUUUUUCAGGAUAUCUUUAUUGGAAAAAUAUUACUGAAUAAUAUUGUGAUAAUGAUAAUUGUUUAUUAAUUUAUGCCAAGUUGAUGCAAAAUUAUAUUUAGCGCAAUGAGACGAAAAUAAUGCUUCCUUAUCGUAACGUAAUAUUUUAUAAUGGCUUUUGUAUAUUGUAGCACGUUGCACUUUAUCGCGUCGUCCUUUUAACCAUCGUAACAAAGAUAUAAUUUUGUGGGACAUAAAUUUUCAUAGUCAUAAAUUAUCUCUAAACGCGGUUAACAAGUACCAAGAGGUAACGAGUUUAUCCGAAAGUGAAGUACGACUGCAUCGGGUGGAAUGGAAUAGCGGUAUUAGUGAAUUAUGGUCAUUUAACAUUUAGUAAUUUCAUAAAUCUUAUCCUGUAGUUGGAUAUUAAUUAGCAAUGGAAUUAAUUCGAGAUAGAAUAAACCGCGAUAUCAAUUUAAAGUAUCGUUAACGUGUAAUGUAUGAAAACAUAUUAAAUUUUAAUUUUACAGUCCUUUUGCAUUUAUCAAGAUUCAUCUUUAAUUUAUGUAUUUUCAACUUUAUUAUAUAUAUGUUUCACUU